rnacentral:lncRNA from 1 species
GCCCCCCAGGGGACCCUGGACAGAGCCCUGCCCCCCUCAAGAUGAUUGACAACYCCCAACUAUGACCAUGUCCCCGGCGCCAGCCCCGUGCCUGGUGACCUCAGCCCACAGCGGAGGCGGUUCUGUGGGUGACAGGUCCCCUGCUCCCCAGGAGGACCUUUGGCCAUCAGAGACAGCAGGCGGUUUUACCAAGAAAAGGAGGAAGAGGCAGCAGAGGGCGGGCCCCGUGGUGUGGGCGAGGGACACCGGGGACAGAGAAGUCCUGGCACACUCCGAGGGGCUGCUGGCCUGGGUGGCCUCACAGCCRGGACGGUGACCGCAGCAGGAGCACCUGGAGGGGACCUCCCGCCUCCACCCCACAGCCCAGGAGACAGUGUCCCUGCGUCCAUGUAAAAGAGGUCAGAAGGCAGAGUGACUCUCCGGGGUCCCACCGGCUCCGAGGGAUAAAGCUGGUUAGAAACAGGCCCCAUCUGUACCCAGGUGACCCUGAACACGUCCCUGCUCCCUGGGCCCCGUCUCUCUGUGCACAACACAUACCCACAUGCCACCGUCACAGAUUGUCGGGUGGGCGCUCCGAGGCAGCCCAGAGACGUGGCAAAGCGGGGAGGAGGCAYGGUGGCCCUGGAGGCGUGGGCCCCCUGCAGAGCAGACUUCCCGCCCAAGGCUGCUCCCCAAUAAAACCUGCCUCUUCUGAGGACCGUCCAUGGAGAGCCCCYGUCCUGAGAAAUGGAGCAAAGCCACCGACUCUGCAGCGAGGGCUCCGUCACUUUGCAGCAUGAGCCGAGCUCCUGUCUGUGCCUAGCCAUGACCUAGGCACUGGGGACACAGGAGUGACACAGGAGCCCACAAGGGCCCCCAAGAGGAGGCUGACGCUCUAGGGAGGAGACGGGCGUGGAGCAAGUGCACCUCCAAGAGACGCGGCCCCUGGACCAUCGCCCGGAAGUCCAAGACACAGACCUCCAGAGAGCUCACCUASAAGGGGUCACCCGCUCCCCCAGGACCCUCCCUGG